rnacentral:misc_RNA from 1 species
CCUCCUUUAAAGAAACCGGAAGACGGCGUGAAAGCGCCCGCACAAUCUGCCUAAUCGCCGCAAAGAUAGACCGCGGGUCUGUAGCUCAGUUGGUUAGAGCGCACCCCUGAUAAGGGUGAGGUCGGAAGUUCAAAUCUUCCCAGACCCACCACCUUUAAGCAUGUAGGAGCAAAAAGGUAACUAGGGGCCAUAGCUCAGAUGGGAGAGCACCUGCUUUGCAAGCAGGGGGUCGGCGGUUCGAUCCCGCCUGGCUCCACCAGGCGCUAAACCACGGCGGCAAUUGACCGCCGCGGUUUAUCUCCUGGCCGAGACGCCACGGGACGUUCUUUUACAAUUUAGGUAGUAGUGAUGUACGACGGUGAAGUCGGGACAGCGUUUGACGUCCUGACUUUACUGGGUAUGCCUGCAUUUAUUAUGGUAGUAGUUGAGACCCCAUGAAGAGCAGUCUUUUGGGGGUUAUAUGAUCAAGCGACUAAGCGCGCAUGGUGGAUGCCUUGGCGGCAAAAGCGAUGAAGGACGUUGUACCCUGCGAUAGCUUCGGGA